rnacentral:rRNA from 1 species
AACGAACGCUGGCGGCACGCCUAACACAUGCAAGUCGAACGCAUGCUAUGACUUCGGUUAUAGUGAUGAGUGGCAGACGGGUGCGUAACGCGUGGGAAUCUGCCCUAUGGUGGGGGAUAACUGUGGGAAACUACAGCUAAUACCGCAUAAGCUCUGUUGCCCGAAGGGGUGGCAGAGGGAAGAUUUAUUGCCAUAGGAGGAGCCCGCGUAAGAUUAGGUAGUUGGUGAGGUAAAGGCUCACCAAGCCGAUGAUCUUUAGCUGGUCUGAGAGGAGGAUCAGCCACACUGGGACUGAGACACGGCCCAGACUCCUACGGGAGGCAGCAGUGGGGAAUAUUGGACAAUGGGGGAAACCCUGAUCCAGCGAUGCCGCGUGAAUGAAGAAGGCCUUAGGGUUGUAAAGUUCUUUCACCCACGACGAUGAUGACGGUAGUGGGAGAAGAAGCUCCGGCUAACUCCGUGCCAGCCGCCGCCGUAA